UUGCUGCUGUAAGCUUGUGUGCAUAGGCUUGUCGCUCGCUUUUGGAAGGAUUUUGCGCUAUUAUGGUGACUUGUGUGGUGUUCGGAUGUACGAAUCGUUCUGAUUGUGAUGCGAAAUCGAAGGGAAUAACAUUUCAUGUAUUUCCUAAAAAUGAAAGUCGGAAAGCUCUGUGGAAGAAUGCCGUGAAGAGGAAGAAUUGCCGUGCGUGUAAAUGAAGCACUAUAUGUUCUCAGCAUUUCCGAGAAGAGGACAUAGACCGAACUUCCCUUUCAACAGUAAGGCUCCGAGAAAAUGCUGUACCAUCAGUUUUCCCUACACACCCAAAACAUUUGCAAAAGGGAGACAAGAAGAGAAAGCCACCAUUGCGGAAGGAGAGCUCUUCCUUUCCAUCUUCAGUUUUGGCUGCCGUCAGCAGAGUGCAGGAUGAAGUAGUUCCUGCUCUUGUUCCUGAGUACACUGCAGGACCACCAGAACGUAGUCAGACAUCCUCUGAAAGUGAGGAACUGAAGACAAAGUGUGAACACCUCAUAAGAAAAACUUAUCAGUACAAAAAACAAAUUAAAACUCUUCAGCAGUCUAAGCGAUGACUUAAGAAGAAAGUGGCUUCUUUGAGUGCUAUCAUUAAGGUACUGAAAGACAAGCAUCUUGUGGAUGAAAGUUCACUAAAUAUACUAGAAAGCAUACCUGGAAUGCAGAGAGACUUGCUGCAGCGACAAACUGCGAAAGCUGGGGCACAGGCUGUACCUAGGUCAUACAGCCCAGAACUGCGCUCCUUUGCCUUAACACUGCAUUUUAAUUCCCACAGGGCGUAUAAUUAUGUUAGGCGCUGUUUUAAUACAUGUUUGCCACACCCCAGAACAUUAACAAAGUGGUACCAGUGUGUGGGUGGAGCACCUGGCUUCAAAUCCGAGGCGUUUAAGGUAAUUACGGCAGAAGCUUGUCACCGUGAAACAAAGUUUCCAACUCUAUGUAGCUUGGUAGUUGAUGAAAUUGCCAUCAGGCAACAUGUAGAAUUUGAUGGUACAUGCUAUUACGGUUAUGUUGACAUAGGGUCAUCUGUAGACACAGAUAAUUUGCCCAUUGCCAAAGAAGCAUUUGUGCUCAUGCUUGUGGCUAUUAAUGCUUCUUGGAAGCUCCCAGUUGGAUAUUUCCUGACUGCUGGUAUAACUGGUGAGCAAAAAGCCGAGACAGUUAAACAGUGCAUUGAUCUUGCCAAUUCAAGUGGUGUGAAAGUUGUUUCACUCACAAGUGAUGGUUCAGCUAGAAAUUUGUCAAUGGCUAGAUGUUUAGGCUGAAAUCUCAAUUGUGAAACUUUGAAAAGUACUUUUUCAGUUGAAGGGAAUGAUCAUGUAAUGUCAUUUUUCCUAGACGCUCCACAUGUUGAAACUUGUGCGCAACGCUUUAGGAGAUAAAUUUCUUUGGGAUGAGCAAGGUGGUGUCAUUUCUUGGCACUUUUUGGAACUGUUACAUAAAUUACAGGUCAAGGAAGGGCCCCACAUAGGCAACAAGAUCACUGCCAGUCACCUUCAUUUUUUUAAAAAUAAAAUGGAGAAACUGGCUACUCAGCUGCUUAACAAUACUGUGGCAGAUGCCAUACAGUACUGUUGUGAUAUGAAACUCCCAGGUUUUGAACAGGCAUCUGCAACAGUAAAAUUUAUACGCAUUUUCAACUGUCUCUUUGAUGUCUGCAAUUCCAGAACACUUUUAAAAAGUGGUUUCAAGCAGGCAUUAAAUACAGAAAAUUUUAGUCCUGUAGAGGGAUUUCUUUUAAAGGCACAGAGGUACAUCAAGGAACUCACUGUUGGUCCAAAUCCUCAAGCAAUGAGAGUUGUUGACUCAAAUAAAGACAGGGUUUAUUGGAUUCCAGGUGUGUAUAUCCAGUGUUUUACACAUGUAUAGCAAAGUAGUGGGGACACACUCAUGCUCCUCUAUUGAAGUUUCUGCCUCUUUACAAAUGUUCUCAGGACCACUUGGAAAUGUUUUUUAGUGCCAUCCGAAGUCGUGGUGGUUGGAAUAACAACCCCACUGCUCGCCAGUUUGUUGCAGCAUACAAGAGGCUACUAAUUCAUAAUGAGAUCCGUGGAUCAGAAAGAGGGAAUUGUAUAACUUUGGAAGAUAUUCCCAUUCUUACUUUCAGCAGUUCCAAUGUUGAAGAUCACAUAAAUAACACUUCGGAACGGUGGCAGUUACUAAGCACGGAAAAUAGUGCAGCGACAACUGACAACGACCACGAUUACUUUGCUACUGGAAUUUAUCUCUCUGAAGUGGCAGUCCAUAUAGUAGUAAAUAUAGCUGGAUUUGUGGUGCGUCACUUAGAGAAAACCUUAAAAUGUGAACCAUGUUUAUCCAUGUUGAGAGGGGAUGGUAGCCAUGUUGCUUAUUCUCUCAUUCAUAGAAAGAGUAGGGGAUGGUUGGUUUUACCAUCAAAUGAUGAUGUUGACAUCUGUGUGUGUGUGCGCAGAAAGUGUUCAGGUGCUAUACUACAGGUAAUUCUAAAGUUCCUUUGAAAAAUCAGUUUUCCAAAUGUGUGUCUGAGGUGCUUAGUGAAUUCAUAUUCAAGCCAGUGUUUGAGUUAGCAGACCACAUGAAAAAUCAGCAUCCCUUGGACAAUCAUAUGAUACUGCUGAUUAAAGCAAUUGCCACACGAUACCUCCUGACACGGCAAAAACAUGCAGCCAAGAGAAUAAGUGAUACAUUGCAUGAAAAUAAAAUCAGGACAACCUGUACAAAACUGGUACUCUUUAAAGGUCAGUAACUGAUAUUUGUACACAGAGGUCUAGUGUGUGAGGCAUCUUGUAUAAAGCACUCAUUAUAUUGAGGCAAACUGGAAAUGUAACCUUAUUGUAAUUAAUAAAUGAUGCACAUUCUUCCUUUUCCGUUAUGUCUAUGUUGUUAUAACCAGCUACAAAAUGUUUGUGAUGUCUGUAUCUUAAAACUAUUAGUAUUAGCAUAU